CUCUCUUUACUUUUUGUUCCACUGAAAUAUGCUGAAGAGAUGUGGGAAUGUAGCUGAGCAGGUGAGGACUUGCCUACUAUGCACAAGGGCUUGGAUUUCAUUCCUAGCAACACUAAAUAAAUAUCCUGAAGAAUAAGUGAGGGGAGAAACAGUGCCAAUGUAAAAGAAGCACCAAUGGCAAAUGGAAGAGCAAGUACAACUGGUAAAUUUAGAUUCACAAUAGGAAUGCAAGUAGAAAAUUAUGCUGGAAACUUCCUAUUUGGUGCAACAUUCAGUUGAAUUAUAACGAGCUUACAUUCCACAGAGGAAAACAGAAGACAAGUUGGCAACAGUGUUUCAACAGGUGUAGAUACCAGAGACAAAGAGGCAAGAAAUAGGGAUAGAGGAGGAGAAGAUACAAUUACUUUAGGUCAGAGCAUCGCUUACCAGGGUUUUGCUGGAUUACUCAGGAUGGGCUUGAAUUUUUAAUCAUCCUGCCUUGGCUUCCCAGCAUGCUGGCAUUACAGGCAUGUGCCACUGUGCCUAGCUCAGAGACUUCUUUCAUAGACGUCUUGGACACAGAGUUUCUUUCAGAUGGCUGUACCACGGCACCCAGUGCCAAGGACCAGAGCUGCCCUCAGAGCUGAGGAGGAGCCUUCCAGGCUGCAGUACCACCACCCUCAGCAUGAAGGAGGUGAGCCGCAUGGAUGCCAGUACCCCACCCCCCACCCCCAUUGGAAUGAGAAGAUACAUAAACAAGUCUCAAAACCAGACUUCCAGAUCAAUUAAAGCAACCCCAAAGGGAAAUGAGAUGGAACAAUCUGAUACUCAGC
ensembl:lncRNA